GAUGGCGACCGGCGCACGGGUGAGUAACACGUAUCCAACCUGCCGAUAACUCGGGGAUAGCCUUUCGAAAGAAAGAUUAAUACCCGAUGGUAUAAUAAAGCCGCAUGGUUUAAUUAUUAAAGAAUUUCGGUUAUCGAUGGGGAUGCGUUCCAUUAGGCAGUUGGUGAGGUAACGGCUCACCAAACCUUCGAUGGAUAGGGGUUCUGAGAGGAAGGUCCCCCACAUUGGAACUGAGACACGGUCCAA
rnacentral:rRNA from 1 species